rnacentral:rRNA from 1 species
GAUGAACGCUGCGGCGUGCCUAAUCCCUGCAAGUCGAGCGCACAGACGAGGAGCUUGCUCCUCUGACGUUAGCGGCGGACGGGUGAGUAACACGUGGAUAACCUACCUAUAAGACUGGGAUAACUUCGGGAAACCGGAGCUAAUACCGGAUAAUAUAUUGAACCGCAUGGUUCAAUAGUGAAAGACGGUUUUGCUGUCACUUAUAGAUGGAUCCGCGCCGCAUUAGCUAGUUGGUAAGGUAACGGCUUACCAAGGCAACGAUGCGUAGCCGACCUGAGAGGGUGAUCGGCCACACUGGAACUGAGACACGGUCCAGACUCCUACGGGAGGCAGCAGUAGGGAAUCUUCCGCAAUGGGCGAAAGCCUGACGGAGCAACGCCGCGUGAGUGAUGAAGGUCUUCGGAUCGUAAAACUCUGUUAUUAGGGAAGAACAAAUGUGUAAGUAACUAUGCACGUCUUGACGGUACCUAAUCAGAAAGCCACGGCUAACUACGUG